CGAUGGAGGGGGAUAACUACUGGAAACGGUAGCUAAUACCGCAUAACGUCGCAAGACCAAAGAGGGGGACCUUCGGGCCUCUUGCCAUCGGAUGUGCCCAGAUGGGAUUAGCUAGUAGGUGGGGUAACGGCUCACCUAGGCGACGAUCCCUAGCUGGUCUGAGAGGAUGCCAGCCACACUGGAACUGAGACACGGUCCAG
rnacentral:rRNA from 1 species